rnacentral:pre_miRNA from 1 species
CUUGUACUCCCUCUGUCUGAAAAUACUUGUCAUUGAAAUGGAUGUAUCUAGAUGUAUUUUAGUUCUAGACACAUCCAUUUUGAUGACAAGUAAUUCCGGACGAAGGGAGUACUUG